CGGGGAGUAGCUCAGCCUGGUAGAGCGCCGGCUUUGGGAGCCGGUGGUCGGAGGUUCGAAUCCUCUCUCCCCGA
rnacentral:tRNA from 1 species